AACCACGAAAUAAAAAUCGGUAUGCUUCUAUGAUGUCAGUUGUGAAACACUACGGUUCAUCGACAGAAAAUCGUCCUAAAAAAAUUUACGAUGGUUAACCUACGAAAUUAAACCUACGCCCCGACCGCCGCCGCCCCUGGCGCGUGGCAGGGGAGAGAAGGGGGGCAAGAUCGGCGGGGCAGAGUUCUUUCGGAAGGACGGCGUGGUGGGCGACAUGGACGGAUACCUCAACUACCUGUCCCUCGAGUAUGACUUCGUCUCGGACACCAAUCCUGCUUGGGUAUCUUCAUUUUGGAAGCAGGAAUCCUUUCCUCAUAAGAUGGAUGAGCUGUAGGAUUUGAUUCUGUUCAGCUUGAAUUAGUUUUUCAUCAUCAUGUUCUUUGUAUUAGGAAUUCAUGCCUUCCAGCUCUAAUUUUUUCGCAUUGUUGGUGUAUGCUGGGAGUCACAUUAUUAUGCUGCUAGCAAACAGUAGGAUUGGAAGUCUUACUCUAUAGGUUAGUAAUAUCUUUUCCACUAUACCGAGGUUCAGCAAUUUGAUUCGUAUUAAGGUCACACAAGCAGUUUGGUUUUCAGAUUUGUCUUGACAAACAUAUUUGGUUCAGCAAUUUAAUUCAUAUUAAAGUCACACAAGCAGUUUGGUUUUUAGAUUUGUCUUGACAAACAUAUUUUGCAGAUUAUCCUCGCAUAUGAAAUUGAUUUCUGCAAGUUCCUUUCACUUCUUAUUUAUUUCUUCACUUGGUUAUGAUGUACUGCUAUUCGUUUUCAUGAUGAUUCAUGCGUUUUGUAGUUUUCACUGACAGAAUCUUGUCUUGAAACAAGAUUGGUUCCCAUUGUUACAGUGAAGUAGCUACCAAGCAGCGAGGCCAUCGAGUGACACGAGACCGCGGGACGGCGUGAGAAGAAGCAGGGGGUGUCUGGCGGGAUGGAGAAGACCACAGGGAAGUGUGGCAACGGAGUGCAAUCCCGAAGAAGAACAUUGCAAAGAAAGACCCUGGCCAAGCGCCACCCAGUUCUCUUUCACCGGCCCAUCUAAUGGCCAUCAAUUCAAUUGGUCCAAGCUGUUGUGUUGACCUUCCCAUUGAUCCACUACAUCCUCGCUCAGCUGGUUCUGCUAUGUUUCUUCUCCAUGGCAUUGCUGGUUGCCGGCGUGCCUGACAUCGCGCCUUAUGUGACCUGACAUGAUGCUCCUCUACGUGUUCUUCUCACCCCGGUUUCCAUGACGAGAGAUGUUGUUCUGUGGUUCCGUAGUUCUACUCCAUAGCAAUGAUGGAGUCGCCUCCAUAUGGAUAGCAAUUAUCUCGGGAUCAUGAGAGCUGUCUACGCAACGGCCAGGGGGCAUAUGCUUCUCCUAGCACUAACACCUUCAUCCUAUUUGAGCCAGAAUGGCUUUGGUGCCCUCUCUCGCUCAUGGUGAGGCCGUGCAUGCUUGCCAUGGUUGUGGCUACGAAAUCUCAGACUGAGUCGCUUCGGUCGGGCACUAUUCAGUACAUUGGUUUUGCUCACAUCACAAAUAUCUAACAACAAGAGUGAUUACUGAAAGCAUAAAAUAUAUUGGCGACCAAACAUCAGAGGCCCAAUUAGUUACAAGACUGACUCAUUGGGGUUUCGCUUGGAGCAUUCUUGAGAUGUUCAGUGGCGUUCAGACUUGGUGUGCCAAAUCACCAGAUGAGAUUUAUCAGUCAGUUGUCCUGAAGAAAUAGAAACCGAUGUUCCUGUACAAUUUACCUACGAAGGUCGCUAAUGUCCUCUCUGGCUGCUAUGAGUAUGACUUUCGGGAUCACUCCUUGAUGUUAGAUAUCUUACAGUCAUUUGAAAGGUAACAUGCUAAAACUCUGUUUCUGCUUCUGCCUUGUUAACUUACAUAAUUUGCUUAAACUGCCAUGGAUGGGUGAUUUUACCAUAUUUCAUUUUCAUAUUUGCUUAUAUUAUAUUGUACAAACUACUAAGCAUUAUUGAAGUUUGUCACAUGAAAGCAUGGAACUGCUUUCUUAGUUGUGUCGUUUAUAGUCAUAUAUGGUCAAUGCACGUUUAUUUUCCUCCAGAGUUUACUUUUACUAUGUCCUGGUACUGGUUUUCUCUGCAGGUUUCUCUACAUUAGCUUUGUGUAUUCAAUUUUUUUGUUCCUGACAAGAAGUGCAUUGCACAUGCACACUUAUAUGAAUCAAGCCUUACAUGAUUUGCUCUUUUACUGAUGGACUGAGGAGGUCAGAGAUGUAUAACAGCCGUAUUGAUCCAAAUGACAAGUACGGCAGUGCUAACCUGCUUACCUAGAAUUUUACCACAUCCUAAGACUUGCAAAUCUGUAUAAUAGGAAUGGCUAGCUGUUUUCUGGUUUACAACCGUGACAUGUGGUGGCAUCUCUCAUCAUGUCUGCACAUAGUGUUUAGGCAUGAUUCUUGCAUACUGUCGAGACUCGAGAAGGGCGCAACAUUUUUCCUGAACUGAUUUUUAAUUUUUUUUGCUUACCGGUUGAGCUCGGUUUCAACUCUUACCUAAGUAGUUGAUAGGCAAGCCCGAUGCAGGUGUAUGGAAAUUAUGCAAUUCCAUGAGGUUUGGAGUUGUCCAGUAUACUACUGAGGCCUACAUAUUUUGCUGAUGCAGGUUGGAGGUGACACAUGAAUGCUGGCAAUGCAAAAUAGCAGAUAUAAAAUAACUGCAGCUCAGGCCAUGUAGUUCUACAACAACCAAGGAAGAAGUCCGUUUUUUAAGCCGACCUUGGCCAAGCAUUUAAGCUUAUAUGGAUGCUCUCUAUUUUUCAGAGGUGCGUGUACUGAGGACGCCCAUGAUUUAGGGCCAAAAAUCUAGACAAAGUGACAAAACUUUGUACGAGACUUACUUGAAGCCAAGGAGGUCAGGGGAGGAGGGCAACAAGGCUGGGGAGCGGAGGCAGAGGCCGACGGGGAAGAGAAUGAUCAAGCAUGUAAAUCUAGAGCACAAGCUCGUGAUUUAUCAAGGGAGUGGCGCUGCCGCCGGAUUAGAAAAUCAUAUCUCACGUUAAGGUGUUUUUGUCUUUUGUUUUUGUACAAAUUUGGUGAAGGCAAUUUUUUGAUGAUAUAUAUAAGAUGACUAGCAUUAUCUUUUUAUUGAGUGCAUGUUCGGGUA